GCCAAGGACAAUUAUAGCGAAGAGCAUUCAAACAUGGAAUAAUUGCCUUACAUUGAUCGAUUCACCAUCUGCGUCUGCUUAAGGAUAUAUGAUUGCUUAAGCUAACAAACGGUUACAAGAAGUAACAGGCCCAAAAUUGUUCUUUUGUAUUUAUUUUUGAUAUUGUUCCGAAAGCUUCAUUAAAAUGUGUCAUUAAAUUUAAG
rnacentral:lncRNA from 1 species